rnacentral:misc_RNA from 1 species
GCCCCCUUCUUAGUCAAUGGGGCACAGCAGGUUCGGCAUCUACUACUACUACAAAAGAGAGAAUCCACUUCAGCUAACCACUCUUUGUUUUGUAAGGCAGAGCUAUUUUCUGAUCCGAUACGAGAAUGAAUUCAAUAAAGGGCUUCAGCCUAUUGCCAACAAACAUUACUUUCGUGGAGCCUAUUAUAUUAUAUAUUAUAUAUUAUGGAACGGCUUGUUUGGUUUGGUAAGAAUCUACUCUAUUCAAUUACCUG